CGGAAGUUUCGUAGUCCUGCGUCAGGAUGAACGCUAGCGACUAGGCUUACACAUGCAAGUCAGGGGGCAGCGGUAGAUCGAGCCUUGCUCAUUAUGCCGGCGACCGGCGCACGGGUGAGUAACACGUAUGCAACCUGCCCGUCGUCAGGGGGAUAAUCGUCGGAAACGGCGUCUAAUACCCCGUAUGAAGCUGGACGGCAUCGUCUGGUUUGAAAGAAUAUAGGAGGCGGAUGGGCAUGCGGCGCAUUAGCUGGUUGGCGGGGUAACGGCCCACCAAGGCAACGAUGCGUAGGGGUUCUGAGAGGAAGGUCCCCCACACUGGUACUGAGACACGGACCAGACUCCUACGGGAGGCAGCAGUGAGGAAUAUUGGUCAAUGGGCGAGAGCCUGAACCAGCCAAGUCGCGUGAGGGAGUACUGCCCUAUGGGUUGUAAACCUCUUUUGUCGGGGAGCAAAAGCCGGACGUGUCCGUCUGUGAGAGUACCCGAAGAAAAAGCAUCGGCUAACUCCGUG
rnacentral:rRNA from 1 species